UUAAGCGACUAAGCGUACACGGUGGAUGCCCUGGCAGUCAGAGGCGAUGAAGGGCGUGCUAAUCUGCGAUAAGCGCCGGUAAGGUGAUAUGAACCGUUAUAACCGGCGAUACCCGAAUGGGGAAACCCAGUGUGAUUCGUCACACUAUCAUUAACUGAAUCCAUAGGUUAAUGAGGCGAACCGGGGGAACUGAAACAUCUAAGUACCCCGAGGAAAAGAAAUCAACCGAGAUUCCCCCAGUAGCGGCGAGCGAACGGGGAGGAGCCCAGAGCCUGAAUCAGCAUGUGUGUUAGUGGAAGCGUCUGGAAAGGCGCGCGAUACAGGGUGACAGCCCCGUACACAAAAGCGCAUGUGCUGUGAGCUCGAUGAGUAGGGCGGGACACGUGGUAUCCUGUCUGAAUAUGGGGGGACCAUCCUCCAAGGCUAAAUACUCCUGACUGACCGAUAGUGAACCAGUACCGUGAGGGAAAGGCGAAAAGAACCCCGGCGAGGGGAGUGAAAAAGAACCUGAAACCGUGUACGUACAAGCAGUGGGAGCACCCUUCGGGGUGUGACUGCGUACCUUUUGUAUAAUGGGUCAGCGACUUAUAUUCUGUAGCAAGGUUAACCGUAUAGGGGAGCCGGAGGGAAACCGAGUCUUAACCGGGCGUUAAGUUGCAGGGUAUAGACCCGAAACCCGGUGAUCUAGCCAUGGGCAGGUUGAAGGUUGGGUAACACUAACUGGAGGACCGAACCGACUAAUGUUGAAAAAUUAGCGGAUGACCUGUGGCUGGGGGUGAAAGGCCAAUCAAACCGGGAGAUAGCUGGUUCUCCCCGAAAGCUAUUUAGGUAGCGCCUCGUGAAUUCAUCUCCGGGGGUAGAGCACUGUUUCGGCUAGGGGGCCAUCCCGGCUUACCAACCCGAUGCAAACUGCGAAUACCGGAGAAUGUUAUCACGGGAGACACACGGCGGGUGCUAACGUCCGUCGUGAAGAGGGAAACAACCCAGACCGCCAGCUAAGGUCCCAAAGUCAUGGUUAAGUGGGAAACGAUGUGGGAAGGCCCAGACAGCCAGGAUGUUGGCUUAGAAGCAGCCAUCAUUUAAAGAAAGCGUAAUAGCUCACUGGUCGAGUCGGCCUGCGCGGAAGAUGUAACGGGGCUAAACCAUGCACCGAAGCUGCGGCAGCGAACGUAUCACCCAAGACAACUUUACGGAGUUGACGAUUGACGGAGCGAAGCGACGUCAAAGCGUUCAUUAAAGUCGAGUUGGCUUAGGGAUACGUUCGUUGGGUAGGGGAGCGUUCUGUAAGCCUGUGAAGGUGUGUCGUGAGGCAUGCUGGAGGUAUCAGAAGUGCGAAUGCUGACAUAAGUAACGAUAAAGCGGGUGAAAAGCCCGCUCGCCGGAAGACCAAGGGUUCCUGUCCAACGUUAAUCGGGGCAGGGUGAGUCGACCCCUAAGGCGAGGCCGAAAGGCGUAGUCGAUGGGAAACGGGUUAAUAUUCCCGUACUUGGUGUUACUGCGAAGGGGGGACGGAGAAGGCUAUGUUGGCCGGGCGACGGUUGUCCCGGUUUAAGCGUGUAGGUGUGUGUUCCAGGUAAAUCCGGUUCACUUUAACACUGAGGCGUGACGACGAGGCACUACGGUGCUGAAGCAACAAAUGCCCUGCUUCCAGGAAAAGCCUCUAAGCAUCAGGUAACACGAAAUCGUACCCCAAACCGACACAGGUGGUCAGGUAGAGAAUACCAAGGCGCUUGAGAGAACUCGGGUGAAGGAACUAGGCAAAAUGGUGCCGUAACUUCGGGAGAAGGCACGCUGACACGUAGGUGAAGUGAUUUACUCAUGGAGCUGAAGUCAGUCGAAGAUACCAGCUGGCUGCAACUGUUUAUUAAAAACACAGCACUGUGCAAACACGAAAGUGGACGUAUACGGUGUGACGCCUGCCCGGUGCCGGAAGGUUAAUUGAUGGGGUCAGCGUAAGCGAAGCUCCUGAUCGAAGCCCCGGUAAACGGCGGCCGUAACUAUAACGGUCCUAAGGUAGCGAAAUUCCUUGUCGGGUAAGUUCCGACCUGCACGAAUGGCGUAAUGAUGGCCAGGCUGUCUCCACCCGAGACUCAGUGAAAUUGAACUCGCUGUGAAGAUGCAGUGUACCCGCGGCAAGACGGAAAGACCCCGUGAACCUUUACUAUAGCUUGACACUGAACAUUGAGCCUUGAUGUGUAGGAUAGGUGGGAGGCUUUGAAGUGUGGACGCCAGUCUGCAUGGAGCCGACCUUGAAAUACCACCCUUUAAUGUUUGAUGUUCUAACGUGGACCCGUAAUCCGGGUUGCGGACAGUGUCUGGUGGGUAGUUUGACUGGGGCGGUCUCCUCCUAAAGAGUAACGGAGGAGCACGAAGGUUGGCUAAUCCUGGUCGGACAUCAGGAGGUUAGUGCAAUGGCAUAAGCCAGCUUGACUGCGAGCGUGACGGCGCGAGCAGGUGCGAAAGCAGGUCAUAGUGAUCCGGUGGUUCUGAAUGGAAGGGCCAUCGCUCAACGGAUAAAAGGUACUCCGGGGAUAACAGGCUGAUACCGCCCAAGAGUUCAUAUCGACGGCGGUGUUUGGCACCUCGAUGUCGGCUCAUCACAUCCUGGGGCUGAAGUAGGUCCCAAGGGUAUGGCUGUUCGCCAUUUAAAGUGGUACGCGAGCUGGGUUUAGAACGUCGUGAGACAGUUCGGUCCCUAUCUGCCGUGGGCGCUGGAGAACUGAGGGGGGCUGCUCCUAGUACGAGAGGACCGGAGUGGACGCAUCACUGGUGUUCGGGUUGUCAUGCCAAUGGCACUGCCCGGUAGCUAAAUGCGGAAGAGAUAAGUGCUGAAAGCAUCUAAGCACGAAACUUGCCCCGAGAUGAGUUCUCCCUGAGACUUAGAGUCUCCUGAAGGAACGUUGAAGACGACGACGUUGAUAGGCCGGGUGUGUAAGCGCAGCGAUGCGUUGAGCUAACCGGUACUAAUGAACCGUGAGGCUUAACCU
rnacentral:rRNA from 1 species